UCCGGUUUGUCACCGGCAGUCAAUUGUGAGUGCCCAACUUAAUGAUGGCAACACAAUUUAGGGGUUGCGCUCGUUGCGGGACUUAACCCAACAUCUCACGACACGAGCUGACGACAACCAUGCACCACCUGUCACCGCUGCCCCGAAGGGAAGGACUAUCUCUAAUCCGGUCAGCGGGAUGUCAAGUCUUGGUAAGGUUCUUCGCGUUGCUUCGAAUUAAACCACAUGCUCCACUGCUUGUGCGGGCCCCCGUCAAUUCCUUUGAGUUUCAGUCUUGCGACCGUACUCCCCAGGCGGAGUGCUUAAUGCGUUAGCUUCGGCACUGAGGGUGGUACCCCCCAACACCUAGCACUCAUCGUUUACGGCGUGGACUAC
rnacentral:misc_RNA from 1 species